rnacentral:rRNA from 1 species
CCUACGGGACGCACCAGUGAGGAAUAUUGGACAAUGGGUUAGCGCCUGAUCCAGCCAUCCCGCGUGAAGGACGACGGCCCUAUGGGUUGUAAACUUCUUUUGUACAGGGAUAAACCUACCCUCGUGGGGGGAGCUGAAGGUACUGUACGAAUAAGCACCGGCUAACUCCGUGCCAGCAGCCGCGGUAAUACGGAGGGUGCAAGCGUUAUCCGGAUUUAUUGGGUUUAAAGGGUCCGUAGGCGGAUGCGUAAGUCAGUGGUGAAAUCUCACAGCUCAACUGUGAAACCGCCAUUGAUACUGCGUGUCUUGAGUGAGGUUGAAGUAGCUGGAAUAAGUAGUGUAGCGGUGAAAUGCAUAGAUAUUACUUAGAACACCAAUUGCGAAGGCAGGUUACUAAGUCUCAACUGACGCUGAUGGACGAAAGCGUGGGGGGCGGACAGGAUUAGAUACCCGCGUAGUC